rnacentral:tRNA from 1 species
UCCCUGGUGGUCCAGUAGUUAGGACUCAGUGCUUUCACUACUGUGGCCUGGGUUCAGUCCCUGGUUGGGGAA